UAUCCACCUCAACAUCUUGCCACAUCAUCAAUUAUUUUCUCAUUUAACUAAUUUUAUUAGCAUCUAGACUUGCAUGUGGUCGCUCUGUUUCCAGUCCUAAAUUACCACCGAAGCUCAAUGGUGCCCCAUCGCAAAUAGUCCUGCCACCAGCAUCCUUUCCGUUUCCUCUCUCUCCAUAAAUAAAGGACCAAUCUUCUUCCCUGGCAAUAGUAUGGAGUGUGGUGGAUAGGAAGCAAUCUCUUUGUGUGGUCCGCCCCUCUGCCAGGUCACCGGUCCGCGGCACCUACCCUCCUCUUCCGGCUUUGCCGGCGGUGCGCGCUACCUCCCCGAUCUCAGUGUGUGGUCAGCCCCUCUGGCACGGUCGCCGGUCCACGGCAUCUCCGCCUUUGCCGGUGCUGCCCGCCGCCUCCCCUCGAUCUCUGCGUGUGGUCAGCCCCUUUGGCACGGUCGUCGGUCCACGACACCUCCUCUUCUCCUCCGCCUCUGCCGCUGCUGCCCGCUGCCUUCCCUCCUCCUCCGCCCCUGCCACUGUCCUUGGUGGCAUGUGUCGAACCCUGCUUCGUUCGCCGCUCCCGCGGAUGGAAGGCAUGAGUUCGUGGCCUAUGUUUAUCUGUUGGAUCCUGGAAGGAUGCUUUGCCCGGCGACUGAACCAUAGGCGGACGCCGCGCCGGCCAAGUGCCCAGCUGGUGGACAACUUUCUUUUCGGCCUCGAAGGUAUACCUGGGCUGAUGGUAACGCAGGGUAGGGCCUCCAUUAACAACCACAGCUUGCAACAACGUUGGAUCGACCUCGAGCGUGUAUAAACAUAGAUAUAGCUUGAACUAGAUAAUCUAAUUUGUGGUCUGCGUCCUACUCCAACAUCACCCACACCAAAGGUCGAUGCGCUGCCUCCUCUGUCUCCUUAGAUAUUAUCAUCCUUCUCCUACGAUGGCACACAUUAUACUAUCUGAGCAUUGCUACCUUCGGUUGCAUCGGUCAGGUUUUUUGGCUCAGUGUUAGAGCCACGUAAAAAAGGACUUACAGGUUCAAUUGAAACCCAACUCUGUCGACAUCGUAGAUACAAAUUGCAUUGGGAUUUAGAUCUACCCGUUUAGAGUUUAACUAUUUGUCAUGCCUCUCAUUGUUCCUUCCUUUCUAUGACUGUCCCCUUGAAGUAUAAACUCAUGAGCUGACAUCAUGUUCAUCAAUCAAGGAUGUACGAGUGUAAUUUGUUCCA